GAUGAACGCUGGCGGCGUGCCUAAUACAUGCAAGUCGAGCGAACCACUUCGGUGGUGAGCGGCGAACGGGUGAGUAACACGUAGGUGAUCUGCCCAUCAGACGGGGACAACGAUUGGAAACGAUCGCUAAUACCGGAUAGGACGAAAGUUUAAAGGUGCUUCUGGCACCGCUGAUGGAUGAGCCUGCGGCGCAUUAGCUAGUUGGUAGGGUAAAGGCCUACCAAGGCGACGAUGCGUAGCCGACCUGAGAGGGUGAACGGCCACACUGGGACUGAGACACGGCCCAGACUCCUACGGGAGGCAGCAGUAGGAAUAUUGCACAAUGGGGGAAACCCUGAUGCAGCGACGCCGCGUGAGUGAUGAAGUAUUUCGGUAUGUAAAACUCUAUCAGCAGGGAAGAUAAUGACGGUACCUGACUAAGAAGCACCGGCUAAAUACGUG
rnacentral:rRNA from 1 species